AUUCUACCCAUGCGGGGAAGGAUGAGAAGCUUCGACCAAGGUUCGAUUCGAGCGCAGCGAGAAAGCGUUGCCGCAGGCAACGACCCGAAGGGCGAAGCGCGCAGCGCUGAGUCAUCCUUCCCCCACCACCA
rnacentral:sRNA from 3 species